UUUGGAAAGUCACUGUUCCAGCAGUCGUACAGUCGCUCUAUUGAACAUUUUUCUACUAUUGAACAUCAGGUAGCUGAUAAGUGUCUCCAUCAACAUUUUAAUUUUGUAAGGAGCGCGAGACUGAGAGGAACCACCACAACCAGAGUCCACCCACAUCCAGCUCAAGUUCCAGCUGUGGAGGAGAAACCAGCUGCAGCUCAAGUUCCCGCUGUGGAGGAGAAACCAGCACAAUUUUUUAAAUCAGUUAAAGCUCCUUCAGCAUCUGCUUUAGGAGACGAUGAGUGGACAUCUUGUCUGUGGCGGUAGAGGAUGAUGAGUGGACGUCUCGUCUGUGGCGGUAGAGGAUGAUGAGUGGACGUCUCGUCUGUGGCGGUAGAGGAUGAUGAGUGGACGUCUCGUCUGUGGCGGUAGAGGAUGAUGAGUGGACGUCUCGUCUGUGGUGGUUUGGCAGCACUGGGGUUUGGCUCUGAAGCUGGAAACACACCUGCUCCCCGUCAGAAGAAAUAGUUUGAUCUGCUUAAUAAGGUUUGUGCUGACAAAAAUGUAUAAUAGAAGAUGAUUAAACACAGUUCCCAUAACCUAAAGGUCUUUAAUUGUACAGAGUGAGAAAUGUCCAAUGCAGGUCCACGGCCAUUUAAAACUUUUCAGAAACGUCUUUGUGGAUUCCACCCUCCUAAAGUGUUCAUUUCAGACUUUCAGGUCGUAAGUGUUCCACCUGCUGCAAGUGUUCCACCUGCUUUACUCCACUCCUACUGCUGUAGCGCCCUCUACCUCCACCCCCACCAUUAUACAGCCUGCACUUACAUUAUCACUGCUCAUUCAUUAUUUUCAUAUUUCAGUAUUUACUCCACACGCAAUUAUCUCUGGAACGUCCCCAAAGCCUUUUAUAGUCAUAUUGUCUUUUAUUGAAUAGAAGAUCAUUUGUGUGAAUUUUAAAAAGAGCUUUAUAUGUCAUCAUCAUCAUCAUCAUCAUCAUCAUUAUUAUGUUUAAAUUAUAAUAUACAAUAUGUGUCUUUACUACCUGGUAGUCAAAGUUCAUCUCCUUCAUUCAGUGAUUCAUCUGCAUCCAGACCUGCUGUUUCUUCUGUUCUGCUCCUUCAAACAUUUCCUCCUCGUGUUUUGAGCCACUCAGAGACUUGAUAUUAUAUUAUUUAUAUUAUUAUUUAUUUUAUUUAUUGUACUGUUUAUGAAUAUUGUUUGCUAAUGUUUAUAUCGCUGUGUAAUGAUUCUAAUUUUGUGGAUUUACUACUAUUAUUAUUUAUUGUUAUUAUUAGUUGGUGUUUUAAACCCACUGUCACUUUUUAUCAUUGUA